rnacentral:misc_RNA from 1 species
AAAUAUACAUCUACACCGAUUAUAUGAAAUCAUGGGUCAUAUUCCCUAUAAACAUGAAAAUGUGAAAAUUUAUGUCUAAGAGAGUGGUGUAUAGUAUAAUUAGCCCCCAAACACAACUCCCAUGGUCCUCAAGAAAGAAAAUCAUGAACUCUCUAAUAUCCAUCAUAAUCUCGAUAAGGAUAGCGACUACAAUCGCAAUAGCAUAAGCAGAAGCAAAGUUGGUAUGGGCAUGUUAAAGAAACAGGAACUUAGAAUUAGAUAGUGCUUGGAUUUCUUACUUGUACCACAUCAUGCCACCAUAGCUAUCAGCACCCGAAAGUUCUCCAUUGCCCUUAGCUGUUGUAGUUCAUAUUAAUAAUAUAAUCAAAAAGCUUGCAGUAAUCAAGAAGCAAUGACCCCUCAUACGCAGUUGCAAGCAAUGCUGGAAAGCAGGAGAUUAUAAGGAAGGCAAUAUCUUUGAUCCAACCUUUCCCUAUCUGUUUCAAAAAAAAAUAGUAACUAUUGUAAUGCAUGAUGCACGAAUCAAAGAGAUUGCAUGGAUUCUUACAAUGAACUUCUUGGUCACAACAAGUCACGAUUCUUGGCCACAACAAAGCAGCCAAAUCCAGCACAUAUUCAACGGCUUCCUGAUUCUUGUUAUGCAAUGACAGGAUUGAAUUCUCUGAUAAGUAAAAGUGUAUAAAUAUCCUCUCAUCCGAGAAGCGAAACACCCUAACUAAACCACUCCUUGAUGACUGAAUCUGUUGAUUUUCAAUCUAAUAAUCACUUGCAAUACACAAUUGAUGGCAAGAGCAACUUGGUCUUCCGUUAAAUUUUAUCAAGUAUUCCAAAAGGAAGCUGCAGUGAUCACCACAUUAGAACCAUUGGAAAGUAAACGUUUCAAAAGAAAGAGAAGGUGGUGAAAAAAUCAAUAGUGAGGAAAGCUCUCAUCAGCAUGGCAAGAAACUCUGAACUUCCAAAGUCCUAACUCCAAGCACACAAAUGGGUAUCUACAUAUAGAUAUAUUACCAAUAGUGAUUUUUUAUCAACACUCAAACUAGAGAAAAAUCAUAAGGACAUCAUGUGACAAAAAGAAAAGGCAAUAAAUGACAACCAAGCCAUCAAAACUAAAUGAAUGGCCUGGAGAAUCGAUAAGACUCGUGCCAAAAGAGUAAUGAAGUCCCAAAAGGAAUCAAUAGGACCCGUGCCAAAGAACAAUAAAGUUCCAAAAUGAAUUGAUAGGACGUGUACAUGAUUAAGCACGAAUAGUGGUGUUACAAGUUCGCUCAAUUUCAAUUGAAACACUCAGCUCAAAGAUCUCAUCUGCUUAGCAUGGGCUGCUUGAUUGAAUCGUGAUGCCAUCUUCUUUGUUUUGCCAAAUAGGCAAAUGUGAAUGAUCAGCACACUUGUGGGAUGCAUCUUUGUUUACCGCCAAAUCAAGCAAAAGAAUCUAGCAUGGCAAACCAUGUGAUCACUAAGUUCUAGCACCAUGCUUUGUUAUUUGAUUAGAACCCAUGCUCCAAUGCAUAAAAAUAAUCUUAUGACGAGUAGAAGUUUCUUUGAAAAACUCAGAGCUUAAGUUAUGAUCAAAACAAAAGUAAACAACAAAAAGCAUGGGGAAG